UGGGGAAUAUUGCACAAUGGAGGGAACUCUGAUGCAGCGACGCCGCGUGAACGAAGAAGGCUUUCGAGUCGUAAAGUUCUUUUAUAUGGGAAGAUAAUGACGGUACCAUAAGAAAAAGCCCCGGCUAACUACGUGCCAGCAGCCGCGGUAAUACGUAGGGGGCUAGCGUUGUCCGGAAUCACUGGGCGUAAAGGGUUCGCAGGCGGAAAUGCAAGUCAGGUGUAAAAGGCAGUAGCUUAACUACUGUAAGCAUUUGAAACUGCAUAUCUUGAGAAGAGUAGAGGUAAGUGGAAUUUUUAGUGUAGCGGUGAAAUGCGUAGAUAUUAAAGAGAAUACCGGUGGCGAAGGCGACUUACUGGGCUCAUUCUGACGCUGAGGAACGAAAGCGUUGGUAGCAAACAGG
rnacentral:rRNA from 1 species